CUCCUCCUCCGUCCUGACACAUUAUCCUGCCGCGGUAAUGUGUGACCUGCAGUGUCAGACGGAGAAUGGAG
rfam:Cyphellophora europaea CBS 101466 unplaced genomic scaffold supercont1.1, whole genome shotgun sequence.